AUACGGAAGAUGCGAGCGUUAUCCGGAUUUAUUGGGUUUAAAGGGAGCGUAGGCGGAUUGUUAAGUCAGCGGUCAAAUGUCGGUGCCCAACAUCGUCCUUCCGUUGAAACUGGCAGUCUUGAAUGCACACAGGGAAGGUGGAAUUCGUCGUGUAGCGGUGAAAUGCUUAGAUAUGACGAGGAACUCCGCUCGCGAAGGCAUCCUUCUGGAGUGCGAUUGACGCUGAGUCUCGAAAGCGCUGGUAUCAAACAGGAUUAGAUACCCUUGUAGUCCGCGCCGUAAACGAUGGAUGCUCGUCAUUGGGGCGUUAGUUUCAGUGACCAAGCGAAAGCAUUAAGCAUCCCACCUGGGGAGUACGCCGGCAACGGUGAAACGUAAAGGAAUUGACGGG
rnacentral:rRNA from 1 species